GCGGCCAUGCUCUCCACAGGCUUUCUUGAACUGUGAACUCGUGUGUGCAUGCUCCUCAUAUAUUGUUCUAGAUCCCAUGCAUGAUGCAUAUCGAUCGAUCUGAUCUGAAUUAGGUCAUCGAUGCGCAUCUGGAUCCCCAUCUUGUUGAUAGUUCAAGAAAGUCCUUGGAAAACAUGGUGC
rnacentral:pre_miRNA from 1 species